rnacentral:lncRNA from 1 species
CAUCGCAGCGCUCGGUCGCCAGCAGGCAGGCCUCCCCAUCCUCACAGCGGUAGCCCUGGGGGCACGACAGCGAGCUGUGCGUUGGGCAGCUCCUCUCGUCGGUGCCAUCCUGGCAGUCCCUCCGGCCGUCGCAGCGCUUCCAGUUGGGGAUGCAUUUGUGCAGCUGCUGGCAUUCGAACUCGGUCCUGCUGCAGCGGCCGCGCGGCGCUGGGGGGCUGGAGGUCACAUUGGGGUCUGCGGG